rnacentral:miRNA from 1 species
CCGUCCUCAUCCGCUCCUCCCAG